rnacentral:rRNA from 1 species
UACGUAGGGUGCAAGCGUUAAUCGGAAUUACUGGGCGUAAAGCGUGCGCAGGCGGUUGUGUAAGACAGAUGUGAAAUCCCCGGGCUCAACCUGGGAACUGCAUUUGUGACUGCACAGCUGGAGUGCGGCAGAGGGGGAUGGAAUUCCGCGUGUAGCAGUGAAAUGCGUAGAUAUGCGGAGGAACACCGAUGGCGAAGGCAAUCCCGUGGGCCUGCACUGACGCUCAUGCACGAAAGCGUGGGGAGCAAACAGG